rnacentral:rRNA from 1 species
CCUACGGGAGGCAGCAGUGGGGAAUAUUGGUCAAUGGGCGAAAGCCUGAUCCAGCCAUGCCGCGUGUGUGAAGAAGGCCUUCGGGUUGUAAAGCACUUUCAGUGGGGAAGAAAGCCUUGGGGCUAAUACCCUCGAGGAAGGACAUCACCCACAGAAGAAGCACCGGCUAACUCCGUGCCAGCAGCCGCGGUAAUACGGAGGGUGCGAGCGUUAAUCGGAAUUACUGGGCGUAAAGCGCGCGUAGGCGGUCUGAUAAGCCGGUUGUGAAAGCCCCGGGCUCAACCUGGGAACGGCAUCCGGAACUGUCAGGCUAGAGUGCAGGAGAGGAAGGUAGAAUUCCCGGUGUAGCGGUGAAAUGCGUAGAGAUCGGGAGGAAUACCAGUGGCGAAGGCGGUCUUCUGGACUGACACUGACGCUGAGGUGUGAAAGCGUGGGUAGCAAACAGGAUUAGAUACCCGAGUAGUC